rnacentral:rRNA from 1 species
UAGGGAAUCUUCCACAAUGGACGAAAGUCUGAUGGAGCAACGCCGCGUGAGUGAAGAAGGUUUUCGGAUCGUAAAACUCUGUUGUUGGAGAAGAACGUAUUUGAUAGUAACUGAUCAGGUAGUGACGGUAUCCAACCAGAAAGCCACGGCUAACUACGUGCCAA